rnacentral:SRP_RNA from 16 species
UCGAACGCACAAUGGUGCGAAUCGGGCGAGGCUGGAAAUGCAGCACC